AGACAAGAAGAAGGACCCAUAGUUACAGGGUGCUGACUAUGCAUCAUUGUCCAGCUUAAUUCUCCCUCACAACAAUCUUAGAAGAUGGACAUUAUCACUGCACUGAAUGUGGACUCAGGUCACAAAACUAGGAAAAGCGGGAGUCAGGAUUUGAACCCCAGUCUUCUCCAUCUCACUGCCUCUUACCUCCCUUCUUAUGCUUAAUGGCAUAUACUGGUCUCCAUUUCUGUUUCUCCUUUUAGAUGUGGGUUGAGAGGCUAGUCCUUGCGUAUACCUACAUUCCCAGAAGCCAAGCCCAAGGAGUAGGCUCAUGGGGAACUCUCAAUAAAUGGGGUUAAUUGGGGAGUUCCCAUCGUGGCGCAGCAGUAAUGAACCCAACUAGUAUCCGUGAGGACCUGGGUUUGAUCCCUGGCCUCACUCAUAACGUCCUUAUCCAUUCAUCCUAGCUCAGCCCUCUGGAGCCAAUCAAUAUUUACUGAGAACAUACUAUGUCUUGUUAUUCUAGAUUCUUUUUUUUUUUUUUUAUAGCCACACCCAUGGCAUAUGGAAGUUUCCAGGCUAGAAGUUGAAUAGAAGGUACAGCUGCCAGCCUACACCGUAGCACAGCAAUGCCAAUUCCAACUUGAAUCUGCAACCUGCAUUGCAGCUUGCGGCAAUGCCGGAUCCCUAACUCACUGAGGGAGGCCAGGGAUUGAACUCGCAUCCUCACCAACACUAUGUUGGGUUCUUAACCUCGUCUCUGAGCCACAAUGCGAACUCCCCCACUAUUCUAGAUUCUGAAGUUAAAGCAGAAAAGGGCAUUUAAAUCCAGUGGGCCAGUCCACUAUUUCCUCCACAUGACACAGGCUUUCCCCUUCUCUCCAGACCCUUUGGAGCCCUAUUUGUGUUCAGCUUUCAGUUUGUAAGCUCUCUGAAGGCCAAGAAUGGUUUCUCCUACCACAUACCAAGGUGUUUUAAAAAGAUUGGAAGAUGUCACCUACUUUUAUUUUCACAGUAAUAACAUUUACUCUUAGUUGAUAUGUUCUUGUUGAUUUACUUACUGGACUCCACUCACUCCCACCACCACUAACCAGCUCCCUCCAGCCCUCAAUUCAAGCAGAGUUGCUGAGUGGCUGGCUUGCUGGUCCUGCCUGGUAUCUGGCUGACACAGAGGCUGGGAUGGCUUCCUGGUGAGGAAAUGGGAGUGAGUCAAAGGGGUCAGUCAGGCAGGAACCCUCAGGCUCAGCCCCGUGCCCUGCGGGCAGGAAUGUGUUCUGGGCCUCAGAGGAGAGAUGCGAGGAGAAGAGGAGCUGGGCCCUUGCUCUGGAGACCACGUUUCUAGGAUGCUCAGGACAACAAGCCAACAGCUACCCGGGAACCCAAAGUGAGGCUAUGAGAGCCCAGGCUCAGGAU
rnacentral:lncRNA from 1 species